CCUACGGGAGGCAGCAGUGAGGAAUAUUGGUCAAUGGGCGGAAGCCUGAACCAGCCAAGUCGCGUGAGGGAUUAAGGCCCUGCGGGUCGUAAACCUCUUUUGCCGGGGAGCAGUGGUCCGGACGCGUCCGGACCGGGAGAGUACCCGGAGAAAAAGCAUCGGCUAACUCCGUGCCAGCAGCCGCGGUAAUACGGAGGAUGCGAGCGUUAUCCGGAUUUAUUGGGUUUAAAGGGUGCGUAGGCGGGACCUUAAGUCAGCGGUAAAAUUGCGGUGCUCAACGCCGUAGAGCCGUUGAAACUGGGGCUCUUGAGUGAGCGAGAAGUAUGCGGAAUGCGUGGUGUAGCGGUGAAAUGCAUAGAUAUCACGCAGAACCCCGAUUGCGAAGGCAGCAUACCGGCGCUCAACUGACGCUGAGGCACGAAAGUGCGGGUAUCGAACAGGAUUAGAUACCCUAGUAGUC
rnacentral:rRNA from 1 species